rnacentral:rRNA from 1 species
AGUGAACGCUGGCGGUAGGCCUAACACAUGCAGGUCGAACGGCAGCACAGUAAGAGCUUGCUCUUACGGGUGGCGAGUGGCGGACGGGUGAGGAAUACAUCGGAAUCUACUUUUUCGUGGGGGAUAACGUAGGGAAACUUACGCUAAUACCGCAUACGACCUACGGGUGAAAGCAGGGGAUCUUCGGACCUUGCGCGAUUGAAUGAGCCGAUGUCGGAUUAGCUAGUUGGCGGGGUAAAGGCCCACCAAGGCGACGAUCCGUAGCUGGUCUGAGAGGGUGAUCAGCCACACUGGAACUGAGACACGGCCCAGACUCCUACGGGAGGCAGCAGUGGGGAAUAUUGGACAAUGGGCGCAAGCCUGAUCCAGCCAUACCGCGUGGGUGAAGAAGGCCUUCGGGUUGUAAAGCCCUUUUGUUGGGAAAGAAAAGCAGCAGGUUAAUACCCCGCUGUUCUGACGGUACCCAAAGAAUAAGCACCGGCUAACUUCGUG